rnacentral:rRNA from 1 species
GAUGAACGCUAGCGGCAGGCCUAACACAUGCAAGUCGAGGGGCAGCACGUCUUCGGAUGGUGGCGACCGGCGCACGGGUGCGUAACGCGUACGCAACCUACCUCUUACAGUGGGAUAGCCCAGAGAAAUUUGGAUUAAUACCGCAUAGUAUACAGAUUCAGCAUUGGGACUGUAUUAAACAUUUAUGGGUAAGAGAUGGGCAUGCGUUCUAUUAGUUAGUUGGAGUGGUAACGGCACCCCAAGACAGCGAUAGAUAGGGGCCCUGAGAGGGGGAUCCCCACACUGGUACUGAGACACGGACCAGACUCCUACGGGAGGCAGCAGUGAGGAAUAUUGGACAAUGGGCGCAAGCCUGAUCCAGCCAUGCCGCGUGAGUGAAGAAGGCCCU